GGGGGCGUUCUGGUUUCGACAUUGUGUUGGAAGAUGGAAUCGCAAGCAGUAGUGGAAGUCUACUUUAAAAAUUCCAAAUAACCUAUAACUGCCGAAAAUAACGUAGUUAAAAUGGCAAAGGGUUUGGUCGCCUCGGUGAAGCGCGGUUUUACAGCCUCUAAAAAGGUUGUGGCGUUUCCUGCGGAAAAAGUCGAAUCCUUUGCACUAGCGGCCUAACUUGCCGCGAGUCUGCCGUGCUGAUGUGCGUAGGCACAGCGGGCUUAAAUCACGCACUGCGAAAUGCGCUUGUAUGUUGGUUUGAAAGUGAAUAAAUUAAAACCAAAUAUAGAACUUGAGUUUGUUUAUUUAGUAAAGUUCUAGAAAAUAAAAUAAACUAAGCUUGUAGAAGUUUUAUAAUAAAGCAGUAAUGGACGCGAGUUCAACUCUCGCCGCCUCCACCA
rnacentral:tmRNA from 1 species